rnacentral:misc_RNA from 1 species
ACUGUCGCUCGAUUUAGGUGACAGUAACGACUCUUUUAAUUAUGGUUAUCGUCACUCUCUGAGUGGCAUGAGCUACUGUCGCUCGAUUUAGGUGACAGUGGCGACUUUCUUCUUAGUCGUUCACUCUUGACAGAGUGGUCAUGGUUGACGACGAUUCAUUGGCUAAAGUAGCCCCCGCUAUACGUCUCCACUUGAUGCGGUUUUCGGCGUCUCGAGAACUCU